AACGCGUGUCGGGCUUCGGCCUGGCACGAGUGGCGCACGGGUGAGUAGCGCGUGGGAACCUGCCCUGUUGUGGGGGAUAACCGAGGGAAACCUCGGCUAAUACCGCAUAAGCCGGGCCUCUUGAGAGAGAGGGCCGGGAAAGAUUUAUCGCGACAGGAGGGGCCCGCGUCGGAUUAGCUUGUUGGUGGGGUAACGGCUUACCAAGGCGAUGAUCCGUAGCUGGUCUGAGAGGAUGAUCAGCCACACUGGGACUGAGACACGGCCCAGACUCCUACGGGAGGCAGCAGUGGGGAAUAUUGGACAAUGGGCGCAAGCCUGAUCCAGCAAUGCCGCGUGAGUGAGGAAGGCCUUAGGGUUGUAAAGCUCUUUCACCCGCGACGAUGAUGACGGUAGCGGGAGAAGAAGCCCCGGCUAACUUCGUGCCAGCAGCCGCGGUAAUACGAAGGGGGCGAGCGUUGUUCGGAUUUACUGGGCGUAAAGGGCGCGCAGGCGGCUCAUUUUGUCAGGCGUGAAAGCCCCGGGCUUAACCUGGGAACUGCGUUUGAUACGGAUGGGCUAGAGUUCGGGAGAGGAGAGUGGAAUUCCAGUGUAGAGGUGAAAUUCGUAGAUAUU
rnacentral:rRNA from 1 species